rnacentral:rRNA from 1 species
UACGUAGGGGGCUAGCGUUGUCCGGAAUCAUUGGGCGUAAAGAGCUCGUAGGCGGCUCGGUAAGUCAGGUGUGAAAACUCUAGGCUCAACCUAGAGACGCCACCUGAUACUGCUGUGGCUAGGGUCCGGUAGGGGAGCAUGGAAUUCCUGGUGUAGCGGUGAAAUGCGCAGAUAUCAGGAGGAACACCGGUGGCGAAGGCGGGUCUCUGGGCCGAUACUGACGCUGAGGAGCGAAAGCGUGGGGAGCGAACAGG